UAAUACAGAGGGUGCGAGCGUUAAUCGGAAUGACUGGGCGUAAAGGGCGAGUAGGCGGUUGAAUAAGUGAGGUGAUAAAGACAUGGGCUUAACCUAUGGGUGACACCUUAGACUGUUUGACUAGAGAUAAGGAGAGGGGAGUGGAAUUUCCGGAGGAGUGGUGAAAUACGUAGAUUUCGGAAGGAACACCGGUGGCGAAGGCGACUCUCUGGCCUUAAUCUGACGCUGAGGAGCGAAGGCGUGGGUAGCAAACAGGAUUAGAUACCCUGGUAGUCCACGCAGUAAACGAUGAAUACUAGACGUCGGUGGUAGAGAGACCAAAGGUGUCGAAGCAAACGCGAUAAGUAUUCCGCCUGGGGAGUACGGCCGCAAGGUUG
rnacentral:rRNA from 1 species